rnacentral:SRP_RNA from 1 species
GCCAGGCGCGGUGGCUCACGCCUGUAAUCCCAGCACUUUGGGAGGCCGAGAUGGGCGGAUCACGAGGUCAGGAGAUCAAGACCAUCCUGGCUAACAAGGUGAAACCCCGUCUCUACUAAAAAUACANNNNNNNNNNUGUAUUUUUAGUAGAGACGGGGUUUCACCGUGUUAGCCAGGAUGGUCUCGAUCUCCUGACCUUGUGAUCCGCCCGUCUCGG